GUUGAAUGGCCGCAGUAUUUUGACUGUGCGAAGGUAGCAUAAUAAUUAGUUUUUUAAUUGAAAGCUGGAAUGAAUGAUUGGACGAGAAAAAAUCUGUCUCAAUUUUAUUUAAUUAGAAUUUUAUUUUUAAGUAAAAAAGCUUAAAUAUUUUUAAAAGACGAGAAGACCCUAUAGAGUUUUAUAUAUUUAUUUUUUAUUUAUUUUUUAGUAUUAUAGAAUUUAUAUUAUUAAAUAGUAUUUAGUUGGGGUGAUUAAAAAAUUAAUAAAACUUUUUUUUUAUUAUUACAUUAAUAUAUGAUUAAUUGAUCCAUUUUUUAUGAUUAUAAGAUUAAAUUACCUUAGGGAUAACAGCGUUAUUUUUUUUUAGAGUUCUAAUCGAAAAAAAAGUUUGCGACCUCGAUGUUGGAUUAAAAUUAAUAUUUGGUGAAGAAGCUAAGUUAUUAGGUCUGUUCGACCUUUGAAAUUUUACA
rnacentral:rRNA from 20 species